UACGUAGGUGGCAAGCGUUGUCCGGAUUUAUUGGGCGUAAAGCGAGUGCAGGCGGUUCUGCAAGUCUGAUGUGAAAGCCCGGGGCUCAACCGCGGGACUGCAUUGGAAACUGCGGGACUGGAGUGUCGGAGGGGUAAGCGGAAUUCCUGGUGUAGCGGUGAAAUGCGUAGAUAUCAGGAGGAACACCGGUGGCGAAGGCGGCUUACUGGACGAUGACUGACGCUGAGGCUCGAAAGCGUGGGGAGCAAACAGG
rnacentral:rRNA from 1 species